rnacentral:rRNA from 1 species
UACGGAAGGCAGCAGUGGGGAAUAUUGCACAAUGGGCGCAAGCCUGAUGCAGCCAUGCCGCGUGUAUGAAGAAGGCCUUCGGGUUGUAAAGUACUUUCAGCGGGGAGGAAGGCGAUGCGGUUAAUAACCGCGUCGAUUGACGUUACCCGCAGAAGAAGCACCGGCUAACUCCGUGCCAGCAGCCGCGGUAAUACGGAGGGUGCAAGCGUUAAUCGGAAUUACUGGGCGUAAAGCGCACGCAGGCGGUCUGUUAAGUCAGAUGUGAAAUCCCCGGGCUUAACCUGGGAACUGCAUUUUGAAACUGGCAGGCUUGAGUCUUGUAGAGGGGGUAGAAUUCCAGGUGUAGCGGUGAAAUGCGUAGAGAUCUGGAGGAAUACCGGUGGCGAAGGCGGCCCCUGGGACAAAGCUGACGCUCAGGGUGCGAAAGCGUGGGGAGCAAACAGGGAUUAGAUACC